rnacentral:rRNA from 1 species
UACGGGGGGAGCAAGCGUUGUUCGGAUUUACUGGGCGUAAAGGGCGCGUAGGCGGCCACCGCAAGUCGACUGUGAAAUCUCCGGGCUUAACCCGGAAAGGUCAGCCGAUACUGCGGGGCUAGAGUGCAGAAGGGGCAACUGGAAUUCUCGGUGUAGCGGUGAAAUGCGUAGAUAUCAGGAGGAACACCGGUGGCGAAGGCGGCUAUCUGGACAGUAACCGACGCUGAGGCGCGAAAGCUAGGGGAGCAAACAGG